rnacentral:rRNA from 1 species
ACACAUGCAAGUCGAACGGCAGCACGGGGGCAACCCUGGUGGCGAGUGGCGAACGGGUGAGUAAUAUAUCGGAACGUGCCCUGGAGUGGGGGAUAACUAGUCNAAAGACUAGCUAAUACCGCANACNAUCUANGGAUGAAAGUGGGGGAUCGCAAGACCUCAUGCUCGUGGAGCGGCCGAUAUCUGAUUAGCUAGUUGGUGGGGUAAAAGCCUACCAAGGCAUCGAUCAGUAGCUGGUCUGAGAGGACGACCAGCCACACUGGGACUGAGACACGGCCCAGACUCCUACGGGAGGCAGCAGUGGGGAAUUUUGGACAAUGGGGGCAACCCUGAUCCAGCAAUGCCGCGUGAGUGAAGAAGGCCUUCGGGUUGUAAAGCUCUUUUGUCAGGGAAGAAACGGUCCGGGCUAAUAUCCUGGGCUAAUGACGGUACCUGAAGAAUAANCACCGGCUAACUACGUGCCAGCAGCCGCGGUAAUACGUAGGGUGCAAGCGUUAAUCGGAAUUACUGGGCGUAAAGCGUGCGCAGGCGGUUGUGCAAGACAGAUGUGAAAUCCCCGGGCUUAACCUGGGAAUUGCAUUUGUGACUGCACGGCUAGAGUGUGUCA